UCCUCCCAAAUCCCUGAUAACUGAUCAUCAUCAACCACAAUGUCUUAUCAAUGGUCAUCACUCGUGAAUUGAAAAAUCCCGAUCCCAGAAUUCAUAAUUUUUAGCUCUCAGUUUUCUUACUCACUACGUGUGAACAAAUGGAACCGAACCAAGGCCAGCUUCAACAAUUUCAAGAUACCGUAACUUUUGAUGAUGAUACAGCUGUUCUCGAUAGUCCCUUGGUAGAAACCCAGGUGGAGAAACUUGGUUUUUAUACUCAAGUGCUUGGUGAUUCUGUUGAGAAUGCUAAACAUGAACUAGGGAGCCAGGUAAUCCCUGACAGUGAGGAUGAAGAAAUCCAUGGAGACCAAUUAGAGAAAGCUGCUGAUGGGGUAUCUGAUGUUGAAACUGGUACAAGAAUUAAAGGAAAUGGAGUAGUAGGCUUACAAAUGAGGCAGCCCAGUCCGCGUUUUCAGUGGAUAAAGGAUUUCGCAGAAGAUUUUGUUUCUGAUGGCUCUGCUGGUGAAGAUAAAGGUGCAGGGGCUUUAAUUAAUGCUGAAGACACCGAUGAGAAAACUGAUUGUCCUCGAUUGCUUACAUGUGAUCAAGAGUUUGCAAGGUUAAAUUAUGUUGACUCUGAGGAACCUGGAGAGUCAUCUCAAGCUAGUGCACUUGGCUUUGUGGAUCACUUCCUAUCAGAUAAUGAUGUGAACUUUUCUCCUAGAACUGAGCUCAGAAACACUGUCAGGAAGAAAUCCCCUCCUGUUCUGAGUGCAAAAGGCUGUCGAAAUUUGGCCAAAAGUAUCAAAACCAGAACCCCAAUUUGUAAACAUAAGACCUUUGGAGGGGUUGAUUUCUCUAGCAAGAGGAUGGAUGAGUCUUUUGAUUGUGGAGGCUGCCAGCAGAGAUAUGUGCCAAGGCAUCAGAAGGCAGGGUAUAUUGAUGGUAAAGGAGGUUGCAGAUCAGAUAAUGACAGUGAAGAGAAUUAUGAAGAUCUUCAUAAGAAAGUAACAAGUUCACCCCACACAGAUUCAAGGGUUGCAGGCCACAGUGUGAAAGAGACAUACAGAACAGGACAAGAAUAUGAAUUUAUAUCUGAAAAUACUUCUGACAAUAAGCCAAUGGAACAGAUUUUUGACCUUGCAUCAGGGCACGAGAUGGACAUUUGCAGUAAUGAAAGAAAUACAUCAGACACGUUGGAUAUUGGUUGUAACACCCAAAUAGCUGCUGAAGCCAUGGAAGCUUUAUUUUACGGCCCCCCAGCUGAUAGCAGUGCUGGUGAGGCUUUUCAAGAUCCUAACGACCCUCUUGUAGAUUCUUCAAAAGGUGUAACAAAUAGUAAAGUUCAUUUAAAGGAACUUUCCUAUGAAAAAGGUGUUCUCUGCAGUCUAGAGGACAUCACAAGAGUGCCAAAGCAAAGAAAGGUUUAUGCUAGAAAGGGAGCUUCUGUUUCAUCUUGGAAACAGCCUAGUCAUCAGGAGUUGCAUCGUGACUUGUCAGAAACAACAAAAAGGAAAAGAAGCAAACCCUUGGUUGGGGAGUUCACUGGUAGGAGUUUUAUCCAUGCAACCAAAAGUUCAGCCACAACAUCUCGUAAGACUAUUGACCAAAGAAAGGAUGAGGAACCUGCGAGGAGAAACAAAAUUAAGGAAUGUGACAACUAUGGGAGUUUGUCAGCGCCAGUUGAAAGCAUUUCACCUGGCAAACAACAGAUACUACAGGAUCCUUUUGCCUCCCAAGACUUGCAUCGAAGGUUAGGAGCCAAAUUCAAAAGGACUAAUGGUGGGUCAGCUAAUCCAGGGGCAAGGACAGAUGAUUUCAUGGAGGGUAGUAUAAUUACAUACAGAAGAAAGAGGAGUCAUUUGGUUGCGAAACCAUCCAAAAUUUCGACCACUACAGGAAGAUGUCCCAAAUUUUGUUUCAACACAUCUGAAGGAGGAAGAAUCAAUGGACUGAGCCAAGAAAAGCUUGCUAGCAUGGAGGUAUCUACCUCAAACAAUUUGCUAAAGCUGAAUGCGUGGAGCUAUCCCAAAGGUAAAAGAACACGACGUGGACUGCCAAGUCAUUUAAAUAUAGCUACUAACCAAUAUACCCCAUUCACCAUAGCUGAUGGCAAAGACCACCACCGAAAACCACUCAACAUAAACCUUCCCAGAUCAUCCCCGAUGAAAAAGCUUAUUAGAUUAGGCAAUCCCAAGUCAUUACCUGGUUCCAGAUGGAAGGAUUUGAGGAAACGUCGAGAUACGGCAUGUUUAGGAGUUCUGUUUAGCCAGAAUUUAGGUGAUGAUAUCAUCAGGCAGCAGAAAAAGAUCUUGGCAAGGCUUGGCAUUUCCGUGGCAUUAUCUUUAGCAGAUGCUACACACUUUGUAGUGGAUAGAUUUGUGCGUACAAGGAACAUGUUGGAAGCUAUUGCUCUUGGUAAACCAGUGGUGACUCAUUUAUGGCUUGAGAGCUGCGGGCAAGCAGGCCUCCUUAUUGAUGAGAAAAACUUUAUCUUAAGAGAUGCAAAGAAGGAAAAGGAGAUUGGUUUUAGCCUGCCUGUUUCACUGGCUCGUGCAAACCAACAACCACUUCUAAAGGGUCAAAGAGUCUUCAUUACACCAAAUAUAAAACCUGAAAAAGAAAUGAUAACUAGCUUGGUCAAUGCUCUUCAUGGCCAGAUCAUGGAGAAAAGUCAGAUAUUUGCUUUGAAAAUUCCAGAUGAUCUAUUGAUUCUUUCAUGUGAAGAAGAUCAUGCAAUUUGUGUGCCACUUCUUGAUAAAGGAGCAGCAGUUUACAGCUCGGAGCUUCUAUUGAAUGGGAUUGUUAUCCAGAAAUUAGAAUAUGAGAGGUCAGAACUUGUCCACCGUCUGGCAAGAAUAUCAAAUUACAUAGUGUGAAUACACACGCACAGAGAUAAGAUGCAUGCUUGUUGCACCUUUGGCAAAGGGAUGAUUUUAUUUGAUCACCCAACGUGGUGAAAUUCUGUUCAUCAAUGAUUUGUAAUAGCUUCGAUGCAUCAGUAAUAACAAAAGUCAUUUCGGUCUCAGUGCUUUAGCAAACUAACUUAAGAGCACACUUGAACUUCUGCUUACUGGCUGGAUGAAGGAUUGCGAUAGAUUUGCUCAUCUUGGGCUCAAUCUGCCUACAUCACAAGACAGUUCGUUGUAAAGGGCAUAUAUAUAAGACCCACAUUUGGAUGAUUCAAUCAAGCAUCGACUCUUUGUGAAUGAAGCCAAGAGAAAUCGAGUGAGCAAGAGGUGAAGGAGAUGGUGCUGAAUUUGUCUUUCCCUGAACAGAAUAAUAAGUUGCUGCUCUUUUUGUAAAACAAAUGCAAGUUGUAAAUGUGGUAGUGAAUGCGAGGUUACCAUGUAGUUAAGACCCUUUUUGUAAAUCAGGUCAUGAUGGAAAGCAAAUCCUUUCUUCCUUGUAAAUCAGGUCGUGAGGGAAAAACAAUUUCAAGAGAUA